UGGCAAUCCACCAGAUGUGGCUACUAUCUUUUUUGAGACUCGUUAGAAGGAUAGCAAGAUUGUUGAACCUGAAACCAAUGAAAAAUAUGCUAAAGUCCAAGAAGUGGUGCAAUCUGAAUCGUCUCUUACAAACAUUAAGGUUGUAGAGAGGUGCUUUGGUCCUCAACGCAAGAGUCAUGUAGUUAGAUUUGUUGGUUUGAUAACCGUUUAAGGGUUGAAAGGUGGUAACUCCUCAAAAGCUACAUUAUUAGAGAAGUUGAAUGCUACUAAAACGAAAAAUGAAUCACGGACGCCUGGAAGAGCUAGAGAGUAGAUAUGAUGUGUAAGACAGUAAAUACGCAUAGCUUGCAAGUGCAGUAUUUGAUCGGCCUUCAUCACCAUCUUCAACUUAGCAGUAGAUUGAAUCAUUUAACAGAUCAAAUAUUUGAACUCCGAAGAAGUUGUCCUUGAAGAAAGUGUAGAGUAAUUUCAAGUACAAGAGGUUUAUAUUUUGUUAGGAUGGUUUAAAGCGACUAUACAUAUGCUGUAAUUUUUUUUCUCUUCUUAGGAAUUAUUAAAAAUGAUGUCAUAUGAUUUAGAUUGGUUUCUGGUAAAUAUGACACUUUACUUCUUUGUAUUGACAAAGAUACCAAGUAUUUGGUUUAUUUUAGAGUGUUAUUGG